UCUAUCUCUACGAUCAUACUCAUAUUCUUUAUCCUGCCGCCAAUCUUUAUCUUGUCUACCACCUCUAUCCCCUGCACGGCGAUCCCGGCGAUGCCCAUCGCGAUGAGUAUCUCUAUCUCUCCAGUUCCUAUUGCUUUCCUUCUCCCAUCCAUUAUCCCUGCUGUCAGAUUUCCCAUUUCGAUCGUCCUUGUCAUACUUGCCAUAUUUGUGAUUAUUGUACCUGUCGCGUUUACCCCAUCUGCCAGAGCUUAGCCGCCGAUCGUUCGUUGCGGGGGACGGUGAUCUUUUCCGAUAUGAUUGUGAUGGAGUGUAUGUGUGAGUCGGUGUCUGGGAAUGGGAAUAAGAAUGGGAUUGAGAGUGAUGGGAGGGUGCAGGUGAGAGAGAUCGGGAACGAGUACGAGAACGCGAGCGACUGGACAAAGGACUAGGCGAGCGGCGAUACGACGAUGCCCUGCAAAUCCUCAGGACUCUCUCUUCCUCUCGCACCACCUUUCCGUUUUUUGGCCGCAGGUCCCGAUGUACCGUAAUCUGGUGACGGUCGACGUGUACGAGCUGGCGUACGGUGAUGACUGGCAGGUGGUUGGGCAGGCGGUAAUGGUCGCCGAGUAGCAGGGUAGUUGGACGAAUCCGCAGGGGAAGGAUCAGGGGCGGAGGGGGAAUAUGAACGCCGAGCGGAUGAAAACCGUUCAUCUCGCGUAGAGUCGAGUUGUCUUGAAGAUCCUCUAUCAUCCCAUCUAGAUGAAUGUCCCUCCUCUUUCACAUUCAAAGACGGAUCCCUUUCAAAUCGUUUCGGAGCGGUCGGUACCGGUGCGCCUCCCCAUGUUCUUGCUGGGAGAGCGUUGGCGCUGCUCACCGGAGGUUGCUGGAUGGCCGCCGGGAAUGUUGGAGGCCGCUUGGUGGGUCUCCAGGAUUCUCUUUUGAAGGGGCGGCCAGACAUGGCGGAUGUAUUCCAAUUUUUGUUAAGAAACCGAUAAUGCAGAAGUAUAAUGGAGGCGCCCCGCGAAAUCAACAGCUUUAGAUGUUGAAUUGUGUUUACGUAACAAUUUCAUUGAAUGUCAUGCACU
rnacentral:sRNA from 1 species